UACGUAGGCAGCGAGCGUUGUUCGGAGUUACUGGGCGUAAAGGGGGUGUAGGCGGUUGUUUAAGUUUGGUGUGAAAUCUCCCGGCUCAACUGGGAGGGUGCGUCGAAUACUGAAUGACUUGGAGUGCGGGAGAGGAGAGUGGAAUUCCUGGUGUAGCGGUGAAAUGCGUAGAUAUCAGGAGGAACACCGGUGGUGUAGACUGCUCUCUGGACCGUAACUGACGCUGAGACACGAAAGCGUGGGGAGCAAACAGG
rnacentral:rRNA from 1 species